rnacentral:lncRNA from 1 species
AACGCAAUCAAUACAAUACGAAGGUUCCAACCAGGAACAGUAUUCAACAAACAGAUUGCAUAAGGAAGGUAUCAACAACAUAACACAUCCUAUAUUAUUACAUACAUUCACAUUCACAUAUUUUUACAUCACAGUUCUCAUUUGAUUCCUCCAAAUACAAUCUAAGUUAUUACAUCAUUUACUGCGGACAGAGUUCCCCUGUACAUUCAAGGCAACGCAAUCAAUACAAUACGAAGGUUCCAACCAGGAACAGUAUUCAACAAACAGAUUGCAUAAGGAAGGUAUCAACAACAUAACACAUCCUAUAUUAUUACAUACAUUCACAUUCACAUAUUUUUACAUCACAGUUCUCAUUUGAUUCCUCCAAAUACAAUCUAAGUUAUUACAUCAUUUACUUAUUACAGUUUGAUACAUUGUGUUCUUUCAUUC